CACCGGCGGCUCGAGUGGUGGCCACUUUUAUUGGGUCUAAAGCGUCCGUAGCCGGCUUGGCAAGUCCCCUGGGAAAUCUGGCGGCUUAACCGUCAGGCGUCCAGAGGAUACUGCCAGGCUUGGGACCGGGAGAGGUGAGAGGUACCUCAGGGGUAGGGGUGAAAUCUUGUGAUCCCUGAGGGACCACCAGUGGCGAAGGCGUCUCACUAGAACGGGUCCGGCGGUCAGGGACGAAAGCUGGGGGCACGAACCGG
rnacentral:rRNA from 1 species